rnacentral:rRNA from 1 species
CAGUAGCCACGGUAAUACGGAGGGAGCUAGCGUUGUUCGGAAUCACUGGGCGUAAAGCGCACGUAGGCGGCUAUUCAAGUCAGGGGUGAAAGCCCGGGGCUCAACCCCGGAACUGCCUUUGAAACUAGAUAGCUUGAAUCUUGGAGAGGCGAGUGGAAUUCCGAGUGUAGAGGUGAAAUUCGUAGAUAUUCGGAAGAGCACCAGUGGCGAAGGCGACUCGCUGGACAAGUAUUGACGCUGAGGUGCGAAAGCGUGGGGAGCAAACAGGAUUAGAGACCCGCGUAGUCCCUGUCUCUUAUAC